rnacentral:lncRNA from 1 species
CGGUUUACCCCUAUACUUCCUUUACUUAAAAACUAUUUUUUACGUGCUUAUUUUAUGUACGCGUAUGUGUAAAUAUGAUUUCUUCUACAUUCCGACGUAAACUUUUUUUAUAGACGAGUCAGGUCAAAUAUAGUACGUUUUCGUUUAAAGAAACCAUUUUUACGUGCAUAUUUCUAUGUACGUUUUCAUAUAAAUUUAAGUUGUUCUACGUUUUGAUGUAAACUUUUUUGGGAAAUGAUUCAGGUGAAAUAUAAUUUGUUUUCGUGCUUAUUUUAUGUACGCUUCGUAAAGUUUGUUUCGAACCGAGUGGAGUCAAAUUAUGGUUUCUUUUUCUCCCCUUUUUUCAAAAGCUCUAAUUAAUCCCUUUCGAUUACAUGUGCAUAUUUUCCUUCAUAUCCGUUACGUUUUCUUUGUAUAAGUUGGGUCACAUAUAAUACGUUAUGAUUGUUCGUGAUCCAAUCACAAUGCUUAUACAGGUUACACUGAGUUCAACUGGAUACGUCGAAAUGUGUGUUUUCAUAUGGUUAAUGCAUCAUAUAACGUUUGAACUAAUCCAUUCAAUGCUUACGAUGUACCCGUGCCGCAACGCGGGCGGGUCUUAACCCUAGUUAGAUAAUAAAAAAAAGAGUCAGAAGGUUGCCUAUAGUGUAUGUUGAAUGCAUACAACCUCCUAAAAUCUUGUUAUUCAAAAUAAUAUAGUAUUACGUUUUAUUCAAUGAUAGUAAUAAACUUAAUUAUUGGUGAGAGUAAAAUGUCAUUUUCGUCCCUGAGGUUUGGUUUGAAAACUCUUAAACUCAUAUUCAUAUCGAUGUAAUCAAAAUCAGAUGGUCUACUACAACUAAAAAAUUUUCAACAGAUACAACAAAAUCAGAUCUGUAGAGCAUAGAUCACAAAAUUACUUAUAGUGCUAACAUUUUUAACCUAAAUAUCUUGAGAUCAAGCAAUAACUUCCACCAUUCACAACAAUUUCACUAAAUUUUAACCUAAGUAUCCAUGAUCUAUGAUUAACACAGUAUUGCCUCUUAUUUCAUAUACGUAUAUAACAAAUUCAAAAAAAAAAAUUAUAUCGGUAUUGAUGUUAAUCAGAAUCAGAUCGUCUACUACAGCUAAAAAUUCCUCAACCAAUACAACAAAACCAGAUCUGUAGAGCAUAAGACUACACAAUUACGUACGGUACUGACAUCUCUAACCUAAAAUUCAUGGAACCUAAGAAGAAAAGGAUGCAGAAUUAUUAACUAUUCAUAUUGAUAUGACGUUAAUAAGAAUCAGAUCAUCUACUACAACUAAAAAUCCAUCAACCGUUACAGCAAAACCAGAUCUGUAGAGCAUAAAACAAUACAAUUACUUACAGUCAUAGUUGUCGAUAGCGAAUAGCGACAAGGCACCUAUAGGCUACGUAGCGAAUAGCGACAGCUAUUUUAUAAAUAGCGAUUACACUAGAAAGGGAAUUUUGAAAAUUUUUAUAUUGUAUAUUACAUCAAAAUACCCUUGUAUAUAUGCUAUUUUACAUGUAUAUUUAACAAAAACCUAUAAAUCCAGCUAUUUUAUAGAUAUAUGUAAUUGCUAUUUACAUCAAAAAAAAAAAAAAAACAAUCGCUAUCAUCGCUAUGACCCAUAUAGCGACGCUACGCCGCAUGGCUACAUAGCGCGCUAUAGCGGUCGCUAUAGCCGCUAUUAACAACUAUGCUUAUAGUCCUGACAUUCUAACCUAAAAUUCAAGUAAUCUAUGAGCAAAAGGAUGUAAUAUUAUUAUUGUUAAUUCAUAUCGGUGUUGAUGUUAAUCAGAAUCAGAUCGUAUACUACAAGUUCAAAUUUCUCUAACCAAUACAACAAAAUCAGAUCUGUAGAGCAUUAAACAACACCAUUACUUACGGUGCUGACAUUUCUAACCUAAAAUGUAAUCUAAGAACAAAAGGAUGUAGAUUAAUAAUUCGUAUCUAUAUUGACGUUUAUCAGAAUCAGAUCUCAUCAUCAUCAUCAUCAUCAUCAUCAUCGUACUCAGUAAAUCCCACCAAUAGCAAAGCUAAGGUAGGGUCUGAGGAGGGUAAGAUGUAGACAACCUUACCUCUAUCCCAUAGGAAUAGAGAGGCUGCUUCCAAUGAGACCCCCGGCUCGAUAGUAGUUUUGUAUCAAGCCUUGGACAUAAGGCACAUAAUACUCAACAAUUGGUACAAAAGCCAAUUGGUGCAUGUACCCCCUUGUCUUUCGGCUAUCAACGCCACCACAUAAUGCAUGAUUAACCGUCCCUCACUUUUUAACGUUAUUUACACGAAAUUAGUAAAAUAACGUUAAAAUUAGUGCACUUUCACUUUUGCCCCCCCUGAGGGCCCACACAUAUACAUAGAGCAUAAUUCUACAC